CAGAAACAUGUUCACAGUCAUGCAUGUAUGAUUAUGAAAUUCAAAUUAACACAAAAUGUACAGAUUUGGAACUACAUGCAUGCACAUUCUAUUAGACUCAGACAUAACAAAACACACAGUCUCAUAUGGAUGCACACCUAAUUUAGAAUGACAUGCAUGCACGCACACAAGCACACACAGUGUGUCUUACAAAGAAAGGAUUGAAACCAAAGGAAAGAGAAGAGAAGGGGGGGGGGUGACCAUCAACGUGGAGCUGCACCUUGCCAAGAGCAUCAGGUUCAAUUCUUCUGCGAAUCCCUUUGCCCACUGCGACGUCUACCUCUACAGGGCGCCCACAACCAAACUCCGAGUCCCCAAUGGGCCCCCUGCACGGACCGCUAAUGGCCCCAGCAGAGCUAAGGGUCGAGUCUUGAGGUGGGAGGACAACACGUACCCUCCUUCUCCCCCCUGUUCGAUCUGCAGCCCCGUCAGCACUCGCUUGCUCUCAGGCUCCAGGAUCAACAAGCGUUCUAGAACGCGGACUCUGAACCCCAACGCCCCCCUAUGAACCCGCCCUGUCUCCUGCAAAAUGACAUUCCCACACAACUAAACUGCAUCAUCAACUACGUAUGGAUGGAAACGUAUCUUGUCACUGAUUUAAACACGUGGUUAAUGUUGUAAAAAAGAACGCAACACAAUCACUUACAUUAAGGCAUCAAAACGAAAUGGUUAAAUACGUUUCCCUCUAAACGUAAUUGACAAUGCCGUUUGUCCGGAUGAAAUGUUCCUCAUAUCUCGUUGUCCUGGAUGUCAUCUUGAAAAUUGUUCUGUGAAUGUGUGUGUUGCAUUUUGUUGCCGUUUAACAGAAGUUCUUAUUUAAGGAAAACAUUUUCCAUAGUUUGUGUCAGGUUGAAACUGGAAGUUGGAGCGUGAAGUGUCGGCCUUUCUUGGACUCUGACAUCUGUGGGACAAACAUGGGACUCAGACGGAGUUCAUGCUAGCUUGCAUUCUGUUGUACACGACCACUGACCUCCUCUGUAUUCUGAAAAAUCUAUAAAUGUUUGCAACUGGGAAGAUCUUUAUGUAAAUUAAAAUAAUCCUUU
rnacentral:lncRNA from 1 species